UCCCAGCAACUCUCCUAGCAACCGGGCAACAUCUGCUCCCGCUGGACCAAUCCGCGCGGGGCACAUCUGGGCACCCACCUCCGCGAGCUGCAGGGACCCGCAGGAGCUGCCACCGCCACCACCGCCACCACCACCACCGCCACCACCUCCUCCAGGAGCAGCAGCGCUCCCGGCAGCGAGAGCCGGACGGGGAGCAGCCCCCCUCUGGAGCCGGGGCUCGCUGGAGCUGAUCUGAUCGGGGCCUACCAAAGACAUUAACGACGUCGAAAGUAGCCUACUUUAAGAGAAAAUAUGCAGAAGAAGAACAUUUACAUCAAGAUUACCAUGACUAUUGUCCAGAACACGUGAUACUACCCGAGGACCGGACUUGUAUUUUAAAACUUUCUCUCCAGAAACUCCGAUUCCUGGAUGACCCUGAAACCUACCUCCGUAGGUCUGUAUUAAUUAACAAUCUGUUGAGGAAGAUUCACCUAGAGACAGAGAGGGAGAGCUAUGAAUACUUUAAGGAGGCUUCGUGUUGUAGGACAGCUUACUCUGAUGCACGAAAACGGCUGAAGUUUAUGGUACAGGAGUGCUGUUCCCAGUCGCUCUAUUAUGAAAAGCUGCAUUCAUAUCGCAUCGUGCCUUACUCUGCAGAGAACGCCGUUUACGGAAUGGGCUACACGAACAGCCACUUGGAGCAAAAUUCUCAAUUGCUUAUUUAUAAAAUGAAUUAAAGCAGCUGUUAGACCCAC